CUUCACCGACCCCAGCCACAGCGGGGCCGGCCGGUUCUGCCCGUACGUGGCCAGCAGCGCCUGCGCCUC
rnacentral:antisense_RNA from 1 species